rnacentral:snoRNA from 1 species
GUGUCAAUGAUGAAAUCUUUGCCUUGUCUCUAGAAAGGUGUUGUCUUAAGUGUCCUGAACAAUAAAGUUACGCUGAGGAC